rnacentral:tRNA from 1 species
GACCCUGUAGUCUAGCGGCUCUGGACAGCGGCCUUUCACGCCGAAAGUGCGGGUUCGACCCCCGCCAGGGUCACC